AGCAUUUAUGCGAUCUGUGAGUGCAACAAGGAAAGCGCGGUUGCUUUGGAUGAAAAAGUAUCUGAGAAGCCUGCCGAAAGUGACCACGCUUCCAGCAACCCAAUCCCUUGUCCUGCCGCACUACUUGAACUGAAGGCAAUUGAGGACAUGGUCACACAUCCCUUUUGCAUGGACCUUGGGCGAAUGAAAAUGCUUUUGGCCGCAACUGCAGAGGCCCGCAUGUCCAAUGCACCAGAUGAUUUGCCGUCAUACAUUUUAAAUCCUGACGUGGCACAAUAACUUGGCAACAGGUCUCCACCAGGCCCAUGCAUUUUGAAAGAGAAUGGCAACUUCAAAAUUGCCUGCAAGGAAAACAUUGUGGCGUUACCACCUGCAUCAUCACCUGAGAAGGCAGUCAUCCUCCUGUUGACUGUAUAUUUUAUUUUAAAUCACUCAUACCCAUACGCUUUUGGACAGUUUUUGGGACUUGUGCAGCAGCUUUUCAGCUUCAACAUUGUGAAGUUGUGCCUUCUUUUACAAUUUUUUAUCACCAAGGCAAAGCGCUGGCUGUAGGUUUCAAGGCUGGCUUGUUUUUUUUAAAUUUUUUAAGGUAUCUCACUUGUACUUUUCAAGGCUGAGUUGUUUGGUUAUUUAAAGGUUUCUCACUUGUUUUUCAGACUCUUUUACCUUUAUUUUUCGCUGUUUCCUUGUUGACUGUUUAAAAUGUGCAACAUUCUUCCAGAUAUAUUUGGGGGCAUAAAAUUUAAUAAACAUUUACACUAGCUUUCAUGGUAUUGUUUGGGAUGAGUUAUCCCAAACUACACAAUGCUGGGGCAAGUAACCUGCCUGGAGUGAGAGGCUUUUUCAAGGGCUUAUCAAGUGUUUUGGUCACGAUUAGCUUUGUAUUAUACGUACAUCUGUGAUCUGCCAACUGCAUUGUUUCUAGUGUUCAUGUUUUUAUUGCGAUUAUUGCCACAUGCUUCUGGCAGGUUAUCGUGUGCAAAUGUUUCAUUGUUUAUUUUGGCUUGCACUGUCUUUUCCAUUUAUUAAUUUAUCCACUACAUUCUUCAUUGGUCUUGUCUAAAUUCAACUCUGUAAGCCCAUUGUUUUAUGCCUUUUUCGUAUAAUUCUUAGAGUACUGAAUUCUUUUGGAACGGGGGUGUGUAAACUCGGUAAAUAGCAUAUGGGUACUCGCGCGUUUGAGUUACCUUAUUUCCUGUGAUAAGCCAGCAUAUUUUAUAGCCUUGUUUAAUGUUUCUUUUUUCCAUAACCAAUGUGCAAGUUUAUAUGAAUGUGGUGCACUUAUGUCUUGGGCCAUUUUUAUUACCCACUUCUUAAAUAUGGGGGCAUAAACGUGAAUGCCACUUAAUGCCUAGUCUCUUUUCUUUUUGGUAUUUGUUCCUUGUUGCUUAAUCAUUUUCUAUGAAAUUUGAGACGAACACGUCUUCAGUGUAUGCAAUACUGUCACUCAAUAAAGUUUGCUCAUGUUGAAAAGCAUUG